GGGCAAGUGGUGCAAAAGGUAGCACUUCGUAGUAGGCAGGGGGAGGAGACUUGACUAGACGCUAGCAGGGACGGGAAAGAUUUUGGGUUACGAUGACUCAGGUUCGAAUCCUGACUUGCCUC